UACGAAGGGGGCGAGCGGUAUUCGGAAUUACUGGGCGUAAAGGGCGCGCAGGCGGCUCUGAAAGUCAGAUGUGAAAGCCCCGGGCUUAACCUGGGAAUUGCAUUUGAUACUCUGGAGCUUGAGUACGGGAGAGGAGAGUGGAAUUCCCAGUGUAGAGGUGAAAUUCGUAGAUAUUGGGAAGAACACCGGUGGCGAAGGCGGCUCUCUGGACCGUAACUGACGCUGAGGCGCGAAAGCGUGGGGAGCAAACAGG
rnacentral:rRNA from 1 species